UUUUUUUUUUUUUUUUAAUGGCUGCACCUAUGACAUAUGGCAGUUCCCCGUCUAGGGAUCAGAUUGGAGCUGCAACUGCAGCUGCAGCCUAUGCUACAGCCAGGGCAGUGAUGGAUCCUAGCUGCAUCUGCAAGCUACGCCUCAGCUGGAGGCAAUGUUAGAUCCUUAACCUACUGAGCAAGGCCAGGGAUCAAACCUGCAUCCUCAUGGAUGCCUGUCAGGUUCUUAACCUGCUGCACCAUAAUGGGAACUCCAGUUUAAUUCCUUUCUUUUUUUUUUGGUUUUGUUUUUUAGGACCACACCCACAGCAUAUGGAGGUUCUCAGGCUAUGGUUCAAAUCGGAGGUACAGCUGCCAGCCUACACUACAGCCAUGCAGGAUCCGAGCCUAGUCUGCUACCUAUACCACAGUUCACAGCAGCACUAGGUCCUUAACCCACUGAGCAAGGCCAGGGAUUGAACCCAAGUCCUCAUGGAUACCCUUUGGGUUCCUUACCUCUGAGCUACAACAGGAACUCCUCAAUUCUUUUUUCUUUUUUUUUGUCUUUUUGUUUUUUUAGGGCUGCACUCGCAGCAUAUGGAGGUUCCCUGGCUUGCGGUCUAAUCGGAGCUGUAGCUGCUGGCCUUCACCAGGGCCACAACAAUACCAGAUCUGAGCCGCGUCUGUGACGUAUACCACAGGUCACAGCAACACCAGAUCCUUAACCCACUGAGCAAGGCCAGGGAUUGAACCUGAAACCUCAUGGUUCCUAGUCAGAUUCGUUUCUGCGGCGCCACGAUGGGAACUCCAUUACUUCUAUUUUUGAACAUGAUUUUUCAAGUUUUCUCUUUUCCUACCUAGAAGUGGAAUCGUUAGACCAAAGGGUGUGCAUUUUUGGAAAUGUAGUACAAAUUAGUUUUCUAGAGAAGUUCCAUGAGAGAGUCCUUGCCUGCCAGCUUGCAUCUCUCACAAGCAUUCUAUCUUAAUCUGUUUCUUGCCUAUCCCCCCCCCCCAAAAGUUGCAUGAGUUCCCUUUCUCCAAUCAAAGCUUGACAGUGUCUUGUUUAUAAGGGUGAGGUAUUUUUUAAAAACAAAACGUGGUCUUAUAUGCCUUCUGAGAAGCAGAAGUAUCUCCAAGAUCUUGCUUGCUCUUUGACCUUUCUACUCUCUCCUGCCCAAAGUUGGACUUUGUUUCCUGAAAUCAAGUCUCAGAAUUUCUUACUCUGUAAUAGAAGCCCAGUGUUAUCUGAAUGUUCUGGGGAGGUCUUGAACAGCCUCUUGGCAUCCAAUCCUGUCUCAUUUUUGCUGGCCUACUCCUAAGACUGAUACCACCACUGUGGCACAGUUAGGCUCCGGUUUGAAUCCUGGCCUUUCUGCCUGAUGUGUGACCUUCAGCCUUCUACAAAUUUCACUUGUUCAUCUUUCAAUAAGGGUAAAAAAGUGGUGCCCUCCCAAGGUUAACUACUUACUGCUCUAAUUGCUCAGGGUGAAGAAUAGAAUUGGGAGGAGAUGGCCAGACAUUAGAGCAGUUGAGGGCUAGGAAGCUGUACCAGCUGGCAUUUCUGGAACAGUGUCACCAGGUGAUACCAAGAUUAUCCAGGUGUCUUUCAGAUCCCCUUCUUGCUCUCUCUCUCUUUUUUUUUUUCUUUUUCUUUUUGCCUUUUCUAGGGCCGCUCCCACAGCAUAUGGAGGUUCCCAGGCUUGGGGUCAAAUUGGAGCUACAGCUGCUGGCCUAUGACACAGCUCAUAGCAAUGCCAGAUCUUUAACCCACUGAGCAAGGCCAGGGAUCGAACCUGGAACCUCAUGAUUGGUUAACCACUGCACACCACGACGGGAACUCCCUCAGAUCCCUUUCUAUGUUGUGUUUUACUUCAAGUGACUCUGAGUAGAUAUCAGUGGGAGAGGUGAUUUAAAGUGGGAAUGGGAGAGUUCCCUGGUGGCUCAGUGGGUUGAGUAUCCAGCAUUGUCACUGCCGUGACUUGAGUCUGAUCCUUGGCCCAGGAACUUCCACAUAUCAUGGGCUCAGACAGGAAAAAAUAAAGUGGGGAUUGGGGUUUGUUUUCUCUUUUGGCCACCCAGUGUUGUAUGGAGUUCAGAUCCCAGCCACCGUUGUAACACACACUGCAACACCUGGGUACUUUAACCCACUGUGUUGGCCCAGGGAUCAGAUCUAGGAUUAGUGGAAAUGCAGCACUGCUCGGGGGUCGGGGAGGGCCGCCCUUCCAUGUUGGCUGAAGAGUUUGGAGAAAUGAUCCAGUAGGGGAGGGUGGUCCAAUGUGUCCUCAGGCCUAAAAUGUAACUUAGCUAUUUUAUUAAAACCUAUUUAUCUGAACAAAGGCAAUGGUCAGCAUAAGUUGCUGGUGGAAGUUUUUUUUAGAGCACGAGCACAGCAUCUUUUCCAUACCCUCUCUGCCUCCUUUGGCCCUAAUUUGAAUUGUAUUGACAUCUGGACUUGGUGAAAGGAUCCUGAUCUCUUCAAGAGGGUUUGUAUCACAAAUCCCCUCCUGGAAGGGGAGGCAGGAAAGUGGAGUUUUUGGCUGGGAGGCUAAGUUUCUGCUAAUGAACUUUGGGCCUUAUUGACCAAGAGUAGUGACUGAUGCCAGUCACUAUUACUAGGAGCUAUCAGGAUCCAGUUCCAUGUAGAAUGCCUUUUGUUUGUGUUAAACCCAAUUGAAGAGUAUAUUUCUUUGAGAGAUUGGUCAAAUCUGAGCAUUUAACCGCAAUUUAAGAAUGAAUAUGCCGUUUCUUUUUGAUCUGUGAAUACUUACAGAUAAAGGCUUUUUAAAGUUAAUCCUAAGUAUAGGCUAUUCUGUGAUCUUUUCCCUUGACAAAUGUUGGCCUGUUCUGCUCAAUAAAGGAAGUUCCAGGACUUUGGGUUGUGGCUAGCAGGGUUGGUUGGGCUUGGGUGGAGCUGUGUACUGAAAAGGGAGAACUCUGGAGUCUACUGUCAGGGUUCAGUUCCAGCCCUGCCCCCAUCUGGCCUUGACCUCGACCUUAGGCAAGUUACAUAAUUUUUCUAAACCUCAGUUUACUUAUUUGUAAAAUAGAAUGCUCAUACACUUAAGCAUUGACUGGGUAGACAAAAUGUAUGUGUGUUGGGGCGUGUGGGGCUGACAUCUGUAUCCUAUUCAGAUUGGGGCCAAGUAGGGAAGCCUCUGUCUUGUAUUUUAAUGGAGUGGGGGUGCAUGCUUCUUUUGCUCUGCCUGAAGAGUUUCAAGAAAAGCUGUCCAGGCCUCACUUUACCUGUGGUCAUCUUUCUUGUCUUGGUGUCUGAUUAAGGCUCAAACUCAUUUUUGGUUCCUAGUUGCUGUUAUGCUAGAAGACAGUGGCAUACUGUGGAAGCAGUGCCAGGGAAGAGGUGUUGGUCUUGGUAUUAUACAAUUUGUAAAAAGAGUAAUUAGUAAUUUCAUAGUCCUCAUAGGUGGCUAAUGUCCCCCCUUGUCCUGCCCCAGACAAUAACACAUACAUGCCUGCAGGCAAAUUGGCCUGUUAGGAUUGUUUUGUGUAAAAGAGCGUGAAAUAAAUUGCGAGAUUUUACACUUAAAAUGUUUUCCUCUGUGUUUAAGGAAAUGUAUUUCAGGUGAGCAAACUGUUGUUGUGAGGGUUGAAACAGGAGGACUGUGUGGAGUGUGGAAGCUGCCAGGACAGGGUAUAUGUGUGAGAGGGAGGGAACCUAGGAACUGGGCUGCAGGGAUACAUUGCACCUGCUGUGUACCUUCCUUGGGACCACUUGCAUACCCUCCCAAGCCUCAGUUUCUCAUAUGUAAAAUGAGAUGAUAUCUUUGGGCUCCAGAGAACUUUGACCACAAUCUAGAUUUUAAGAGAAAGUAUUUUUUUAUUUUAUAUAUGUGUUUUUCAAACUCUGGGUGAUGAAUUUAGUAGGUUACAGUCAUUGUUUAAGGGCAGAGAAAAAGGAAAUGUCAAAGGGUGUUACACAAUUCAAGGGUUUUUUUUUGUUUUAAUACAUACUGAAUAUUUUUGGAUGUUUGUCUGUCUUUGGUCUUUUUAGGGCUACACUCGUGGCAUAUGGAAGUUGCCAGGCUAGGGGUCAAAUCUGGAACUGCAGCCUCUGGUCUACACCACAGCCACAGCAGCGCCAGAUCCUAGCUGCAUCUGGGACCUACACCACAGCUCACGGCAAGGCCAGAUCCUUAACCCGUGGAACAAGGCCACGGGUUGAACCUGCAUCCUCAUGGAUACCAGUCAGAUUCAUUUCUGCUGAGCCACAUCAGGAAUUCCCCAUGGGUAUUUCAUAAAACCUUGGCUGUGAUUUUAUGUAUUGUGUACAUGAUAAGAUGUGUUUCUUGGGAGUUCCUGCUGUGGCCCAGUGGGUAAAGAAUCUGACUGCAGCAGCUCCAGUUGCUGCCUGCAGCAGCUCCAGUUGCUGCAGAGAUGUGUGUUUGAUCCCUGGCCUGGCUGCAGUGGGUUAAAGGAUCCGGCACUGUCACAGCUGUGGCUUGGAUUCAAUCCCUGGCCUGGGAACUUACAUAGCCUCCAGUGCAGCCACGAAAUUUUUUUUUUAAAUGUGUUUGUGGUGCAGUGGAAACCAUGAGGUUGUGGGUUCGAUCCCUGGCCUCGCUCAGUGGGUUAAGAAUCCAGCAUUGCCGUGAGCUGUGGUAUAGGUUGCAGACGUGGCUUGGAUCUGGUGUUGCUGUGGCUGUAGCAGAGGCCCACAACUGUAGCUCCGAUUCAACCCGUAGCUUGGGAACCUCUAUAUGCCGCAGGUCGGGGCCGAAAAAGCAAAAAAAAAAAGUGUUUCUUACUGUGAAUCAUGUCAGAAUAGUGUAAAAUAGCUUCGUUUUAGAUAACCUCUCAACAGUAACUGUGGGUACCCUUUUUUGUGUGUGGCCAUUUUGCAGUCUGUUUCUUCAUCACUUGCCCAAAGGCAACUGUCCUGGGUAUGCUUUCUAGUAGCAAGUGAACUGCAUUGAUCUUUGUUUCUUUUCUUCCUUACCCUGCUUGCUAGAAGCUCUUUGGAGGGUAGAGUAGAAUAGAGAAGUUGAAACAUGUAGUGGUGAAGGUUGUCAAUGGUUUGCAACAAGCAAAGCAAGAGUGUAUAGAGUAUUAUGUGUGUGUAUGUUAAGCAAGCUACUUGUGUUUUAUUCUCAGAUACUGCCCUCCAACUUUUUAAUCAAGAUGUUGAUUCUUUUAGGAAAUGGCUGUUUGGUUAGGCCUUUCUGGUAUUAAAAAAACAGAAACAUAAAACUGGUUAAAAUGAAAGAGAAUUUGUUGGUUAAUGUGUUAAGAGGUCUGAAGUGGGCCUCAGACAUGACUGAAUUCAAGGACUCAAACAGGGACAUCAGAGCAGUUCUUUAUCUAGUAUCCUGGCCUCAGGUCAAGAGUGCUUUCUGAUGGCUGGAAGAUUCUGGAUUGUUGCCCAUCCCUGAUCAUGUGCAGAGGGAAAUGCAGAACUACCUGCCUCAAAUGUAGCACAUUUAUCUCUUUUCUGCCCUCCACUUGCUCACCUCUCAUGUGGUAGCUCCAGCAGCAUGUUGCUCAUCAUUUUGAGCCGUGCUAGAUGAGAUACUUUUGUUGAACAGUCUGUUUUUUACACUAGAAGUGGAAUGUAUCCUCUAAUUUGAGGCAAGAAAUUUUGGAUGGCUGAAAGGGAAGCUAAUUUUCCAAACUAAGGCAUAACCAGAAUUAGCUGAAAAGGCUUGGAAUGAAUUACUCAAGAAAAAGGAUAAAGUGAAGAUGGUUAAGGAUGUGUGUAUACCAAAUCCUUUGCAGAGGAUUAAAUAGAAAGACGUGGUUUAUACCAGGUUCCAGGUACAGAGGGAGUGGAGGCUCUGAGAGGAGUCAAGCCAAGUCUCAGUAGUCUCUUAGGUGGACAGGAGGACUCUGACACUCAGUAACAGAGCCCGGUUUGGCCAGAAAAACAGCCCUCAGAAAACAUAGGAGUGAAAUGGGCUUAGAUCAAGAGAAAGUGAGAAGACCAGGCAGGUAAACAGCAGCAAAUGUUUGCAUGAAUGAAAUUGUAAUGGCAAACAUUUCAGUAAACUGGAUUCAUUGUUGUCCACAAAAAAAACCUACAUUUGUGAUUUUGCUAUUUGUUAAGCAGUUUCCCUUCUUGAGUUCUUGAGAAGUCUGCUGCUUGGCAUUCCUCUAGUAUUACAGAAAGCCUACCCAGAUUUCCAUAAUCAAAAACAAGUGUUAAGCACUGCUAAUCAUUUUCCUGCAAUUCUUGCUGUUGGAUUUAUUCUUUUAGUUGAGUUUAGUUCUUUAAGGGACUCAAAAUAAUUUGGGGUCUAGUAGCCAAGAAUGAGACCAGCCCUGCUUCUUACUAGAGCAUUGAUUCUUGAAGAGAGGUUGGUGGUCCCUUUAAAAAAAGAUGACAAUGCUGUGGAUCCUUUCUCCAGAACAAUUCGUAUGUUUGAACAUUGAACCCUUUGGGGCAGGGGCAGUUUUCAGAACCCUGAAACCUGUCUAAGGAGCAUGUACUAAGAUGAAUUUCCUGGAUUUUACUUCACGAAUGAGAAAUUAUGUUAACUAAAAGGCUCUUGAUGGUUUUGAAAACUUUCCUUUUUACAUUCAUCUUGC
rnacentral:lncRNA from 1 species